rnacentral:lncRNA from 1 species
UUCUUUGAAGUUCUCCACCAAAAUGCCACCUUGGUGCAGGAGGGCUGGGCACAGGCUCAUUUUCCAGAGGAGGGUAAUGGAGGAACAGGGGAUUCACCCCUGCAGUUCUCCACAGCUCUGUAUGCAUGAGAACUGCUGACCUCUCCAUCCUGUGCCUUGCAGGUACCCAGGUGUUCGGGUGCUGGAAAAGGGGAUCAAGGUUUUGAUUGACAAGCAGCUGCCCAAUGGGGACUGGCCUCAGCCGGGGGAGAUGCAGGCCGAUGGCUCAAGGGGUUUUGCUGGGAGCUGUCCGUGAGGGGGAAUCGCUGGCUGAGGAUGGCUCCGUGGAAGAGCUGAGCUUUGCAUUUCGUUCCGUCAUGUGGCAGAGAACAUCUCUGGGGUGUUCAACAAGUCCUGUGCAAUCAGCUACACCUCCUACCGCAACGUCUUCCCCAUCUGGGCCCUGGGGCGCUUUGCCCGCCUGCACCCCGGCAGCGCCCUUGCUGGAAAGCUGCAGCCCAGGUCCUUGCACAGCGAAGAGGAGAUCCUGGCUGGAGGGAAGCGGGAUGGGGUUCUGUCAGGGUCCCCCUUUGCCUGAGCCUGGGCCCUGCCCAUGCCCCAUGGCAGGCCUGCAGCCUCAGUGACACCCCAGCUGGAUUUGCUUGGCUACAAGGCUGUUUACGGGAGACUGGCAGGCCCUGGCGCUGCGUCAUGGUCCAUGAGGACUCUGCACAUUGAUUCUAGCUCCGGGCCUACAUGUGGGGUUGGAGGGGGCAGCGAGUGUGUGGGCACUGGCUGGCUUAUAGUCAAACAUGCUGUACGUCUGGGGCUUGGCUUGAAUGGACCCCUCUUCCCGGACCCAUUGUGUAAAAGGCUGUGUGUCUGCAGGUGAACGCUGCUGCGCAGGACAGGCUGCUGGGGGGUGGGGCCUAACCGUAUGACUGUGAGCAGGUGUCUGCACUUCAAGCUGGAGGAGACACGCCAGCGCUCACUGAGAUCGAGUUCGGGCGCUAACCCACGGGUUCCCAAACCUGCUCCCUGCGGCCCGCCUGUGCAGCUGCCAUGGCGCUGCGCCCACUAGUAACACUGCUUGAGGAGACGAUUAACUGUAAUUACUACAUCCAUAUACACUAGAACACUAGAAACCACGUCCUUGGUUCCUUUUCCUGGUCAUCUAAGCAGGGGUAAUGAGAGAAAUCCCUAGCCGCACUCACUCAAAGAAAUGCUUCAAGGUCUUUGAAACCAAACAGUUUUAGUAAAGCUCCACUUUAAAAAGUGUGGAGAGCAAAAUGUGUUCACACAAGGAAAACACAAUUUGGUAUACAACUGAACAAUAAGCACCACAACAACGGUAACACAACUGUUGAAUAAUAACACAAUGUGGUUUUUUUAUUUUUAAAUCAAAACAGUUGGCCAGCUUAGCCCACGAUAUUGUGUUUUCUAUAUUUUAGUGUAAAAUCUGAAUGUUUAUGGUGUGUAAGUAAAGACCCAGCCCAGCUCUCUACUAAUUAGGUCAAAUAUUGUAAAUAAAAAUAUAAAAUAACUUACA